GGAUAUAGCUCAGCUGGUUAGAGCACCAGAUUGUGAUUCUGGGGGUCGCCGGUUCGAAUCCGGUUAUC
rnacentral:tRNA from 2 species